GAAAAGAAAAAAAAAAGAAAAGGGGAAAGCAAGAGAGGGGCGGCAGAGAAAGAGGAGGAGGGAAGGAUAGUGCUCUUGGAGAGGAAAGCAAUCUUAGGCUCUAAUUCAUCUUUGUCCAAGUAAAAAGGAUGAAGAUGCUUGAGCAUGGGGUGCAUGGGGAGGGAGAUCAAAGUCAUUUUUUUUUUUAAUUAUUUUCUUGUGUCAAGAACUUAGUUGAUUUUAUUUUAUUUUUCUCUUUCUAAGGAGUUGUUGAAAUAGAUGAAUUGAAUAAGUGUCCAAAUAUUCACAGAUUGCAAUUGUUUUAAGUUUAUCUAAUAGGGUUCUUUUCAAUUUUCUUA